GACGUAGGGCGCGAGCGUUGUCCGGAUUUAUUGGGCGUAAAGAGCUCGUAGGCGGCUUGUCACGUCGGGUGUGAAAGCCCGGGGCUUAACCUCGGGUCUGCAUUCGAUACGGGCUAGCUAGAGUGUGGUAGGGGGAGAUCGGAAUUCCUGGUGUAGCGGUGAAAUGCGCAGAUAUCAGGAGGAACACCGGUGGCGAAGGCGGGUCUCUGGGCCGAUACUGACGCUGAGGAGCGAAAGCGUGGGGAGCAAACAGG
rnacentral:rRNA from 1 species